AGUGGGGAUGUUUUGAGAUGUGUUUUGUACACGUGUAAUGCAGGGCAAACUGUGAUUAUUUUGUACACAAAAGUGAGUGUAGACUUUAACUGAAAGCUUAACAUUUAUGUUUUUGUAAAAUCUUUGUUCUUAUUUGUGCCUUAUUUCAAUGAAUCAAAUGCAGGCUUUACUUCAAAUUUCAAAAAAAUUGAGAAUGGAACUGCAUGCAAAAAGACUAUUUAAGAAAAACGAGUUUCCAAGUAAACAGCGCUCUCACUCAUGUAGUCAUUCCCCUACCAAUAAUAAACCUUUUGUUGUUUUGCAAUGCAUUAUGGGUUUGGAUGACAAGCAAGCAAUACAUUUUAUGCACAACCCUAUGAGUGAAGUGUACAUGCCUGCAAAACAAUCUGUUACCAUUUUAUUUCAUACUCCAGUUCAAGUCAUCUUCUUCUCACAGUGUUGCAUUACAGAUUUGGGAUGAAGAUAGUCACAAACCUUGAAGUAUCACAUGGCAGAAAAGAAAAAUUCAGGGAAUCUCUUCAAUAAUACUAUCUGGUCAUAGACCACGCCUUGACUGAGAUCAACUUGCAGAAUGGUGCCGAUGUGUAACACAAUCAUGGCAUCAUCUUUAACGGAGGAUGAUAUUCCAGGUGCAAAGUUUGAAACAGACCCUUUGUCAGCAACAGUGCUGCAGCUAAAGAGAUGGUUGGCAUGCAGAAGAGGCGCUUCAACUUCUGGAGUUAAAUCAGAACUUGUACAGAGAGUAUGCAAUUAUAUCAGUGGAGGUCUGUCAGAGACAUUGUUGAUUGAUCCGGAAAACACCCAGCAUGCGGUGGACAGGGAGAGAGGGAGGACAGUGUCUGCUGUUACAUGUACCCCUACAAGUUUCCAGCAACCUCCUAAAGACGGCUGGACAAGCAACUUAUCCCAUGCACGCAUUGAUGCUGGAUUCCACCUGUGCACAUAAUGUGCAUCUGGGUAACGAACAUCCAUCUCAUUCAGCCCAAUUUUCCUUUUUUUUAUUAUGAGGGCACUUGUUGGCAAGUGGAUAGAAGCAGAGAUGGCAAUGAGAGUGGAAGGAACAUGUGCUGUCUGUCAAGGAGAAGUCUGUCUUCUGCAGUGACUGUAAGUUGUCUUUUUAAGCAUUAAGGAUGACGUUGAUACUGUCAAUUCUGCCCUCAGGAUUGCAUGCAAUUUGUCUUUUCAGCUGUUUAAACGUGAUGCGGGAGAGAUAAAUAUAGUCAUUAAGGGGCUAGCAAGUUACUGUCAUGUUUGCAGUGAUUCCUUGGUGGUUUUGCAUUUUUGCCAUGCCUUGAAUACUCAACUUUCUGUUCUUCAUGAACAUCAGUAUGGAGGCUGUGGAGACCAUCAGAGAGCAGUUCUGACAGUAAGAUUUGAAACUUUGCAUGACGGAGGCUAGGGUGAGAGAGGGUUUGUGGGUACACCACAUGGAAUCAAUGUCUUCUAUAGGAGUGGGGGGUUCUGACAAGAACCAGUGAGUGGGAACUCCUCAGGGGAGACAACCAGAGCUUCCUGGUGGAAACAUCAAGUUCACACUCACAAGUUCUCAGAACCACCGUUCUUAUAGGAGAAAUUGAUUCGACAAAUGGUGUUCCAACAAACCUUCUCUCUGCCAGAACCACCGUUCUUGUAGAAGAGAUUGAUUCUACACAUGGCGUACCUGCAAACCUUCUCUGUCAGAACCACCGUUCUUAUACCGGACUCAAACAACACCAAGCCCAUGGCAGGAAGGGAGAGUAUGAGAAGUCAGCGAUAGUCAAGCAUUUCCACUCUGAAGACCACCGCAUCAACUGGGACCAAGCCCAUCUCAUCACCAGCAUCGAGCACUGGUACCCAAGAUGCAUCAGAGAAACCUUGGAGAUCCUCAAGCAAGACACCAUUCCCCAAGACAUCGGCUUCUCCAUCAGUGACAUCCAGCAACCCCUGCUGACCUCCCAGUCCAAUGGGUCCUCUAUACCCUAGGACACCCGCCUAUGGGUCUCCUAUACCCCCCGGCCACCUCACCCCACCCCAACCACUGCCCAACUGACACGCCUCACUGACCAGCUGGACCCCUUCCGCAUGAUGGUGCCCAGCUGGCUCCACCACUAGCAUCCUCGUCACAUUCCACUGCAUCCUGUCACCUUAUAUAAACAGCUUCCUCAUCAGCAUCUCUUCAGUCUCCUGACGACGGACUGAGCACACAGCCUGAAACAGUACAAGAUGUCCCAUAGGUCUACCUUGAUGGAGCUGAUCCAAUUCACCUCUUCCCUUUUGUGACCACCCGGAUGUUAACCUCUGUGACGUCAAGGAGCUCCAUCCAAAGUCAGUUAAGUCAAGCCCCAGCACUGAUGCCUGACUGUAGUGUGACAUGACUCGUCUACCUCUCUGCCUUCAGUACUAGUGAAUGUCCUGUCGCUGACACCAUGCAGCACCUGUUGGAAUCACAACACAUCACUGAAAUGCGGUGACAUUUUCACUUUUACUUACCGGCGGAUAUGGAAAACUUUCCAAAGGGGCAUUGAAGUCUGAGAUUUCAUACGCAGAUCAGUCCAUUGACGAGAUGUUCCAAACCAUCCAUCAUUCAGGUGAUGUUACUUAUACUAUUGUUAACCAAAGUUGUCACUCCAACUUGUCCUAAGUAAUUAGUUAUUAAAUAGUAGUUAUUAAAUUAACAUCUCCCCAACGCAAAAAUACAUCUUGAAAAUAGUUCGCGGUACCC
rnacentral:lncRNA from 1 species